AAAUGAAUAGACGGGGACCCGCACAAGUGGUGGAGCAUGUGGUUUAAUUCGAAGAUACGCGAAAAACCUUACCUGGCCUUGACAUUGAUAGAAUCCUAUAGAGAUAUGGGAGUGCCCUUUUGGGAGCUUGAAAACAGGUGCUGCACGGCUGUCGUCAGCUCGUGUCGUGAGAUGUUGGGUUAAGUCCCGCAACGAGCGCAACCCUCGUCCUUAGUUGCUAACAGUUUAGCUGAGCACUCUAGGGAGACUGCCUACGCAAGUAGGAGGAAGGUGAGGACGACGUCAAGUCAUCAUGGCCCUUACGGCCAGGGCUACACACGUGCUACAAUGGGGCAUACAGAGUGUUGCAAUACCGCGAGGUGGAGCCAAUCACUAAAAUGCCUCUCAGUUCGGAUUGUUCUCUGCAACUCGAGAGCAUGAAGCUGGAAUCACUAGUAAUCGUGGAUCAGCAUUGCCACGGUGAAUACGUUCCCGGGUCUUGUACACACCGCCCGU
rnacentral:rRNA from 1 species